CUACACCACUACACACACACUACACACACACCACUACACGCACACACUACACACACCACUACACACACACAGCAUUACACACACUACACACACCACUACACGCACACACCAUUACACACACACUACACACACCACUGCACACACUACACAUACACACCACUACACACACCAUUACACACACACUACAAACACCACUACACACACACUACACACACACCACUACACUACACACACCACUAUGCACACUACAUACACACACCACUACACUCACACACCAUUACACACACACUACACACACCACUACACACCACUACACACACACCAUUACACACACACUACACACACCACUACACACCACUACACACACACCAUUACACACACACUACACACACCACUACACACCACUAUGCACACACUACACACACACCAUUACACACACACUACACACACCACUACACACACACUACACACACACACCACUAUGCACACACUACACAUACACACCACUACACACACACCAUUACACACACACUACACACACC
rnacentral:lncRNA from 10 species